UACGUAGGGUGCAAGCGUGAAUCGGAAUUACUGGGCGUAAAGCGUGCGCAGGCGGUUAUGUCAGACAGGUGUGAAAUCCCCGGGCUUAACCUGGGAACUGCAUUUGUGACAGCAUAGCUAGAGUACGGUAGAGGGGGAUGGAAUUCCGCGUGUAGCAGUGAAAUGCGUAGAUAUGCGGAGGAACACCGAUGGCGAAGGCAAUCCCCUGGGCCUGCACUGACGCUCAUGCGCGAAAGCGUGGGGAGCAAACAGG
rnacentral:rRNA from 1 species